GCCAGUAUAUGAAUCAAAAGGAUUUGCACAUGAAUGGAGUGGAAUUAGCUGACUUCGUGAUCUGUAAGAAGCAGUAUUUGGUGCUACUAUCACAAUUACCCCAAACCCACCAAUCAUCGAGGGGGGCUCUGUCACUUUAACCUGUGAUGCAGCUGGCUUCAACAUCACCAGAGACUGGAUGAAGGAUGGUCAUCCUGUGUCUUCUGGUGACAAUAUCAUCUUAUCUGAGGAUAAGAGAGUGCUGUCCAUAAAGAAGAGAACAGACAGUGGAGAAUACCUGUGUAGAGUCAGCAACCCUGUCAGCUCUGAAAAUGCCAGUGACACUGUGAAUGUAAUCUAUGGACCUGAUGGUAUGGAAAUCAAGGGUCCAACUGAAAUAGAAGUAGGACAGAAGUUUAUAUUGACCUGCUCCGCUGACUCCACCCCCCUGCUAGUUACACCUAGAUGCUCAAUGGAACAGAGAUACCUGGACAUUCACCUGAGUUCACUAAAGAGAAGAGUGAAUACUCUGAAAGUGGGGAUUACACCUGUACAGCAACAAAUUAUGUCACUGGGAACAAAACAUCUGUGGUCCAUAAACUGUCUGUAAAAGGUCAAGUUAGAAGUUUUAAGGACAAUAUGAACAUAGGAAGUAGAUAAAAGUUACAUCUAGUCAUUUAGCAGAUGCUCUUAUCCAGAGAUACUUACAGUUAGUGCAUUAAGAUAGCUAUGUGGGACAACCAAAUAUCUCAGUCAUAGUAAGGACAUUUUUCCUCAAUAAAGUAAUUAUCAGAAAAGUCAGUGCAAGUAGAAGAAAAGUUAUACUUAUGAAGUUUUGCAUCCCAAACUUGUUUUGAAAUAGUGCCUUUAGUUGUGUUUGUUGUAUUGUAAUUGUCACCUAGAUGCACUGUAAUGUGCAGUACUGUUUGUUCACUGUGUGUAGCCUUUCUCUCAGCUCUGUAUGGUUCUCUCUCUGGUCUCGGCAGCGGAGGGCUCUCUAACUCCAGAUGGGCUGUCUGCUGUUGCCAUCACUGGGAUUGUGAUUAUAGUGUUGCUGGUUGUGGAAGUGGUGGUUAGUGUUGCAGUCUAUUUCAUCAAGAAAAUGGAAGCAAUGCUGACUCAAUCCAUCGAGGAGGCUCGCAACAACAACAUGUAUAUGAGAACCCAUCACCUGUGUAUGAGAACCCAUCACCUGUGUAUGAGAACCCAUCACCUGUGUAUGAGAACCCAUCACCUGUGCGUGACAACACACAACACAAUCAAUCUCCACCUCUGCCCCUGACACAGUAAGAGGUCAGGAAGAGAUCUCCAUUCAACCACCAUUCUCCAGUGAGUUCCACAAUCAACACAUAGAAAACCUGCAUGAUAACACACAACCAGUGUGGAUCUGAAAUCAGACCACAAGUAACCAAGCCAGCUCAGGACCUCCACAUCCAUCUUCUUCCCCUGCGGGAUCAUCUGAGACCAGCCACUCAGACAGCUGAUGAAACUGUAGGUUUGCACAACAGAAGAAUUUCUGCACAAACUGCCAGAAACCGUCUCAGGGAAGAUCAUCUGUGUGCUCGUCAUCCUCACAAGGGUCUUGACCUGACUGCAGUUAGGUGUCGUAACUGACUUCAGUGGGCAAAUGCUCACCUUCGAUGGCCACUGGCACGCUGG